GAUGAACGCUGGCGGCGUGCCUAAUACAUGCAAGUCGAGCGAACAGACGAGUAGCUUGCUCCUUUUACGUUAGCGGCGAACGGGUUAGUAACACGUGGGUAACCUACCUAUAAGACUGGGAUAACUUCGGGAAACCUGAGCUAAUACCGGAUAAUAUUUCGAACCGCAUGGUUCGAUAGUGAAAGAUGGCUUUUCUAUCACUUAUAGAUUGACCUGCGCCGUAUUAGCUAGUUGGUAUGGUAACGGCUUACCAAGGCAACGAUACGUAGCCGACCUGAGAGUGUGAUCGGCGAGAACGGAACGGAGACACGGUCCAGACGCAGAGGUGAGGCAGAAGUAGGGAAUCGGGCACAAAGGGCGAAAGACUGAAGGAGCAAGGAAGAGUGAUGGAUGAAGGGUUACGGAACGUAAAACGCAGUUAGCAGGGAAGAACAAACGUGUAAGUAACUUGGUACGUUGUGACGUGACCAAACUAGAAAGGCACGGCUAAAUACGAG
rnacentral:rRNA from 1 species